AGCAUAAUCAUUAGUCUAUUAAUUGUGGACUUGUAUGAAUGGUUUGACGAAAUAUUAUCUGUCUCUUAAUAAUUAUUAGAAUUUAAAUUUUUAGUUAAAAUGCUUAAAUUUAUUUAGAGGACGAGAAGACCCUAUAGAUCUUUAUUAUUGAAUAAUUAAAAUAUUUUUGGUUUUUAUUUUAUUUAUUUGUUUGGUUUUUUAGUUGGGGUGACGUGAAAAUAUAAUUAACUUUUUAUUUUAUUUUUCAUUUAUUUAUGAUUAAUUGACCUUUUAUUAUUGUUAAAAGAUAUAGAUACCUUAGGGAUAACAGCGUAAUUUUUUCUGAGAGUUCUUAUUGACGAAUAAGAUUGCGACCUCGAUGUUGGAUUAAGAUAAAGUUUGGGUGUAGAUGCUUAAAAUUUUAGGUCUGUUCGACCUUUAAAUUCUUACA
rnacentral:rRNA from 1 species